AUGCGAAAGCUCUUCUUCAAGAAGCCGGUGGGGUGGCCGGAGUUUCUGGAAGCAAGAGCCGUGUGCAUCGACAAGCUGAAGCAAUUGCCCGACCACUUUCACGUCCCAACAUCUUAUGACAAAUUCGAAGAGUACAUACUGAACAAUGCUAAGAUCAUACUUUGCACCGCUUGUACCUCGUCCCACCUGAGCCGGACCGUGGAGCUUGGGGAAUUUAAGCCAAUCGACCUUCUUAUCGUCGACGAGGCGGAGCAGCUGAGGGAGCGUGAGAUACCGAUACCUCUGCACACCGGUGUCCAUCGCACUGUCCUCAUUGGCGACGACUGCAAGUUACCGGCGCUAAUCAAAAGCAAGGUCAGCGUGGACGCCGACUUUGGGAGAAGCCUGUUCGAGAGGCUUAUAUCUCUUGGACAUCCUAGGCACCUCCUUGAUGUGCAGUUCAGGAUGCACCCGGAGAUAAGCAAGUUCCCCCUCUCGAGGUUUUACCUCGGUAAGGUGACAGAUGGCCCCAACGUCCUCCAAAGGGAUUACGAGAGGAAGCUCCUGGCUGGCCCAAUGUACGGCCCCUACUCGUUCAUCGACAUCAAAGGCGGGACCGAGAGCUCGGGCGAGCAUGACAUGAGCCUGAGCGACGCGGCCGAGGCAGCCGCCGUGACCCGGAUCGUGGAGAGAUUGUUCAAUGAGUCGGUUUGCUCGGGACAAAAGCUAGCCGUAGGCGUGGUGUCGCCCUACAAUGCGCAAGGCCACGCCAUCCAGGAGAGGCUCGGAAGGCUCGAGUGCGGGGCACACGGCGAUGGAGAAGGCUUCUCCGUGAAGGUUCGGACCGUGGAGGGGUUCCAGGGCGCCGAGGAGGACGUCAUCGUCUUCUCUGCCGUGCACAGCAACGGCAACGGGUCGGUCGGGUUGCUGGCCGACUGGAGGCGCACGAACGUGGCGCUCACCCGGGCAAAGCACUGCCUUUGGAUCCUGGGCGACGCGGCGACGCUGUCGAGCAGCAAGACGAUCUGGCAGGAGAUUGUGGCCGACGCAAAGGAGAGAGGGUGCUUCUACGACUGCAACGAGGACAAGGACCUCGCGGCCGCGAUACGCGACGCCGUGGUCGAUCGGUCGGAUGAAUUAAUUGGACAAUCUGCUCAACGUUGA
rnacentral:rRNA from 1 species